CGUGGAGUCUAUUACAGCAACGUGCACGUCUAAGUCAGCCAGUCGGGUCCCCGUUUAGGCCCCCAAAUGGACAAAUGGCCGGGCACGCACGCCGAUCUCAAACAGCGCAGCCGUUCACUCAACAAGGAUGACCGAUCCCAAUCCCAUCAACGUCGUCUACGUACAUGUUAUCUUUAAAAAUCAACGUCGUCUACUUGGCCAAAACGACCGUCAUUUUAGUAUACGAAGGCAAUUAAAGUGAGUGAGGGAUCGGAACCUCAGCGAUCUACGGCUACUACUCGGCUAGUUUAGGUACCGUUGGUGCUUAAAAAGAGCUCGGUGGCAAAAGUACGAUGCGAGCAAAAAGAUACAAAUGUGGGGCGCUCCCACCCCAAAAGGCUCGCUCAUGCCACACAUCUUCGUCUCGAAUUUAGAUGCCUGCCUGCCACAAGUCUUCCUCUUUCUUUUUCUUUUUUUUUCUACUUUUUUCAUCCCAUUUAAAAUGUCAUUUUUAACUUUUAUAAAUUUCUUAUUUAACUGUUAAUUUUAUUUAAUUUUUUACAUAAAUAUUAAAAAUAAAUAAAUCAUUGCUAAAAUAUUUUUAUUAAUAAAAUAAAUAAUAUUUAUACAUAAAUUUUAAAUAAAAUAAACUGUCAAAUAACAAGUCUAAAAAAAAAAUUAAAAUCGACGAAAAGGUAUAC
rnacentral:lncRNA from 1 species